UACGUAGGGCGCAAGCGUUAUCCGGAAUUAUUGGGCGUAAAGAGCUCGUAGGCGGUUUGUCGCGUCUGCCGUGAAAGUCCGGGGUUCAACUCCGGAUCUGCGGUGGGUACGGGCAGACUAGAGUGAUGUAGGGGAGACUGGAAUUCCUGGUGUAGCGGUGAAAUGCGUAGAUAUCAGGAGGAACACCGGUGGCGAAGGCGGCUUUCUGGACAGACACCGACGCUGAGGCACGAAAGCUAGGGGAGCAAACAGG
rnacentral:rRNA from 1 species